rnacentral:rRNA from 1 species
UACGUAGGUGGCAAGCGUUGUCCGGAUUUACUGGGCGUAAAGAGCGCGCAGGCGGUCGAUUUAGUCGCGUGUGAAAGCCCCCGGCUCAACUGGGGAGGGUCACGCGAUACUGAUCGACUCGAAGGCAGGAGAGGGUAGUGGAAUUCCCGGUGUAGUGGUGAAAUGCGUAGAGUAAUCGGGAAGAACACCCGUGGCGAAGGCGGCUCUCUGGGACGGUACUGACGCUGAGACGCGGAAAGCGUGGGGAGCGAACAGGA